AUUGAACGCUGGCGGCAGUCUUAACACAUGCAAGUCGAGCGUGAAAGGGCUUCGGCCUGAUUAAAGCGGCGGACGGGUGAGUAACGCGUAGGAUUCUACCUGGUAGUGGGGGAUAACGUUCCGAAAGGAACGCUAAUACCGCAUACGUUCUGAGGAAGAGAGCAGGGGACCGCAAGCUCCUGCGCUAUCUGAUGAGCCUGCGUCCGAUUAGCUAGUUGGUGGGGUAAGGGCCUACCAAGGCGACGAUCGGUAACUGGUCGGAGAGGAUGAUCAGUCACACUGGAACUGAGACACGGUCCAGACUCCUACGGGAGGCAGCAGUGGGGAAUAUUGGACAAUGGGGGCAACCCUGAUCCAGCCGUGCCGCGUGAGUGAAGAAGGCCUUCGGGUUGUAAAGCUCUUUCGGCCGGGAAGAAAUCGCACAGGCUAAUACUCUGUGUGGAUGACGGUACCGGCAUAAGAAGCACCGGCUAACUACGUGCCAGCAGCCGCAGUAA
rnacentral:rRNA from 1 species